AGCACCCAGCAGAGGCUUCUCCCCAUGCACAGCACUGUGAGGUUCAGGCACCUGGGCACAGUAACCACAGUGAUUCCUGGAAGCUGGUGGGCAUGCUAUCCUGGGGCCAUCUGAACUGGGAAAAGCUGUGUGAGUUCUUGGGGGCCAGCUUGUAGCCUUUUUGGCUGGGGCCAGGUUGAAGGUCUUCCUGGGAACCAGAGUCAAGAGCGGCCACUUACAUUAAGCGGAUAAAGCCCACGACUUUCUUGAGCUGCUUGACAGCUGUACCAAAAAGGCACAAACCCAUUGAGGAUAUUAUGAAACAUGAAUACAGAUGAUUAUUUUAUUUUGGUUUGGUUUUGUUUUGGCUUUGAGACAGGGUCACCCAGGCUGGAGUGCAGUGGUGCCAUCAUAGCUCACUGAAGCCUCAACCUCCCAGGCUCAACUGAUCCUCCUGUUUCAACCCCCCAAGUAGAUGGGACUACAAGCGUGCACCACCACGCCUGGCUAAUUUUUUUUAAUUUUUAAUAGAGACAAGGUUUUGCUGUGGUGCCCAGGUGGGUCUCAAAUUCCUAGCCUCAAACAUUCCUCCCACCUCAACCGCCCGAAGUGCUGGGAUUACAGGCAUGAGCCACCACGCCCAGCCAUUGCCUUAUAAUUUUUUACUGAUGUCAGAUAUUGUUAAUUUUACAGUGUUGGAUGCUGGAUUUUUUUUAAUCUCUAUAAAUAUUCUUGAAUUUUGUUCUGGAAUGCAGCUAAAUAAUAGCUUGAUCCUUUCGGGCCUUGCUUUUAAGCAUGGUUGGUUAGUCAGCAUCAGAGAAGUAUUUCAUCUAGGGCAGGGGCAGGGGUCUCCAAACCCCAAGCCGUGAACCAAUACAAGUCCAUGGCCUGUUAGAAACCAGGCUGCACAGCAGGAGGUGAGUGGCGUAUGGGUGAGCAUCACUGCCUGAGCUCCACCUCCUGCCAGAUCAGGAGCGGCAUUAGAUUCUUACAGGAGCGCAAACCCUAUUGUGAACUGUG
rnacentral:lncRNA from 1 species